rnacentral:lncRNA from 1 species
UCAAUUGUCAUUUUGGAACAACAAUUUGUUUCUCUUCAGAUUUUUGCUUUGCAAUUUGGUUAGUCACCAAAAAUAUGAUAUUGCCUAGCUGGAUUAAACAUAUGUGAAGAAUUUAUUGGUUGUGCCAACACAGACAGUUUAGUUUAUCUAAAAAUAUUAAAAGACAAAAAAAAAACAAGAUUUCUGACAUUCUUACAUAUACUUAGUUAGAGACAUUUUGUCAAAUAGUCAAUGAUGGGAGAGAACGGUUUUCUCUAUUUCUGUUUGUAUGUGAAAAUUGGAAUUAAAAAAAGGGUGGUUUGUUGUGAAAUUAAUAGAUUUAAAACAUUUUUAUAUAGUUAAGGAACAUGCGCGACG